rnacentral:rRNA from 1 species
UACGGAGGGGGCUAGCGUUGUUCGGAAUUACUGGGCGUAAAGCGCACGUAGGCGGCUUGGUAAGUUAGAGGUGAAAGCCUGGAGCUCAACUCCAGAAUUGCCUUUAAGACUGCCGAGCUAGCAGGUGAGAGAGGUGAGUGGAAUUCCGAGUGUAGAGGUGAAAUUCGUAGAUAUUCGGAGGAACACCAGUGGCGAAGGCGGCUCACUGGCUCGGUACUGACGCUGAGGUGCGAAAGCGUGGGGAGCAAACAGG